GCUGGCGUGGUCUAAUGGUUAUGAUUUCUCGUUCACAUCGCAUGUGAAUAAGCGUGUUCUACCUUGAAUUCCGAGAAGGUUCCGUGUUCGAUCCACGGCGCUAGUA